rnacentral:rRNA from 1 species
GAUGAACGCUGACAGAAUGCUUAACACAUGCAAGUCAACUUGAACUUCGGUUUGGGUGGCGGACGGGUGAGUAACGCGUAAAGAACUUGCCUCACAGAUAGGGACAACAUUUGGAAACGAAUGCUAAUACCUGAUAUUAUGAUUAUAUGGCAUCGUAUAAUUAUGAAAGCUAUAUGCGCUGUGAGAGAGCUUUGCGUCCCAUUAGCUAGUUGGAGAGGUAACGGCUCACCAAGGCGAUGAUGGGUAGCCGGCCUGAGAGGGUGAUCGGCCACAAGGGGACUGAGACACGGCCCUUACUCCUACGGGAGGCAGCAGUGGGGAAUAUUGGACAAUGGACCAAGAGUCUGAUCCAGCAAUUCUGUGUGCACGAUGAAGUUUUUCGGAAUGUAAAGUGCUUUCAGUUGGGAAGAAAAAAAUGACGGUACCAACAGAAGAAGUGGCGGCUAAAUACGUG